GUGGGGAAUAUUGGACAAUGGGGGGAACCCUGAUCCAGCCAUGCCGCGUGUGUGAAGAAGGCCUUUUGGUUGUAAAGCACUUUAAGCGAGGAGGAGGCUACCGAGAUUAAUACUCUUGGAUAGUGGACGUUACUCGCAGAAUAAGCACCGGCUAACUCUGUGCCAGCAGCCGCGGUAAUACAGAGGGUGCAAGCGUUAAUCGGAUUUACUGGGCGUAAAGCGCGCGUAGGUGGCCAAUUAAGUCGAAUGUGAAAUCCCCGAGCUUAACUUGGGAAUUGCAUUCGAUACUGGUUGGCUAGAGUAUGGGAGAGGAUGGUAGAAUUCCAGGUGUAGCGGUGAAAUGCGUAGAGAUCUGGAGGAAUACCGAUGGCGAAGGCAGCCAUCUGGCCUAAUACUGACACUGAGGUGCGAAAGCAUGGGGAGCAAACAGGAUUAGAUACCCGGGUAGUCC
rnacentral:rRNA from 1 species